rnacentral:rRNA from 1 species
GCACAAGCGGUGGAGCAUGUUGGUUUAAUUCGACGCAACGCGAAGAACCUUACCAGGGCUUGACAUCCCCUGACCGCGUAUGAAAGUACCGUUUUCACCCUCGGGUGACAGGGAGACAGGUGGUGCAUGGUUGUCGUCAGCUCGUGUCGUGAGAUGUUGGGUUAAGUCCCGCAACAAGCGCAACCCUCGCCUUUAGUUGCCAGCAUUCAGUUGGGCACUCUAGAGGGACUGUCGGUGUCAAACCGGAGGAAGGUGGGAUGACGUCAAGUCCUCAUGGCCUUUAUGUCUAGGGCUACACACGUACUACAAUGGCCGGUACAAAGGGCAGCCACUCAGCGAUGAGGCGCUAAUCCCAUAAAGCCGGUCUCAGUCCGGAUCGCAGUCUGCAACUCGACUGCGUGAAGUUGGAAUCGCUAGUAAUCGUAGAUCAGCAUGCUACGGUGAAUACGUUCCCGGGCCUU